AAGAAAAUAGUUCAGCACUAAGUCACUUUGUCUUUAAUGGCAAAUGUGAGAUGCAGUGUAUGGAAUGUUCAAUUCUAGUAUGAGAAAUUAGCGAUUUAAGUCCUUCUUAAAUGAGGCCAUUUACCCAAAGAGGGUGCUAGGCCCGUAUAACGUUAAUGAUUACUAGAGAACAAUUCCAAAGAGUCGUGUUGCUUGAUAGUGCAGCACUAAGUGGGUGGUAAACUCCAUCUAAAACUAAAUAUAACCAUGAGACCGAUAGUAAACAAGUACCGUGAGGGAAAGUUGAAAAGAACUCUGAAUAGAGAGUUAAAUAGUACGUGAAACUGCUUAGAGGUUAAGCCCGAUGAACCCGAAUAUCCAUUAUGGAAAAUUCAUCAUUAUGAAUUAUGAUAUUUAAUAAAUAUUAUAUUAAUGGUGUGCAUUUUUUCCAUAUAAGGACAUUGUAAUCUAUUAACAUUAAAAUUUAUCAUAAAAUCAUUGGCUUUAAAGUUUAUUCAAAUUAUUAUGCUUGCAUUUUAACACAGAAUAAAUGCUUUUGAUUUGAUAAAUUGUUGAUAGAUUUAUAUUUAUAUAGUGCUUAAAUAUAUUUAUAUAUUUUAUAAUAGCAUAUAAAUCAAUAAUUUUUAUGUUUAUUAUAUGCACUUAUAUGAUUUACAAUGCGAAAGAUUCGGGAUACCUUCGGGACCCGUCUUGAACACGACCCAAGGAGUCUAACAUAUUUGCAAGUUAUUUGGGUUCUUUAAAAACCUAAUAGCGAAAUUAACAUGACAAAAUUAAUAUGGGAUUAGUUAUUAGUUCUAAUAUACUUAGACUAUUAAUUCAAUCCCGGGGCGUUCUAUACAGUUAUGUAUAAUAAUAUUUAUAUUAUUUAUACCUCUAACUAGAACGUACCUUGAGCAUAUAUGCUGUAACCCGAAAGAUGGUGAACUAUACUUGAUCAGGUUGAAGUCAGGGGAAACCCUGAUGGAAGACCGAAACAGUUCUGACGUGCAAAUCGAUUGUCAGAAUUGAGUAUAGGGGCGAAAGACCAAUCGAACCAUCUAGUAGCUGGUUCCCUCCGAAGUUUCCCUCAGGAUAGCUGGUGCAUUUAAAAUUUAUGUAAAAUAAUCUUAUCUGGUAAAGCGAAUGAUUAGAGGCCUUAGGGUCGAAACGAUCUUAACCUAUUCUCAAACUUUAAAUGGGUAAGAACCUCACCUUUCUUGGUAUGAAGGUUGUGGUUGUGAUAUAAUGUGCCCAGUGGGCCACUUUUGGUAAGCAGAACUGGCGCUGUGGGAUGAACCAAACGUAAUGUUACGGUGCCCAAAUUAACAACUCAUGCAGAUACCAUGAAAGGCGUUGGUUGCUUAAAACAGCAGGACGGUGGACAUGGAAGUCGCAAUCCGCUAAGGAGUGUGUAACAACUCACCUGCCGAAGCAACCUAGCCCUUAAAAUGGAUGGCGCUUAAGUUGUAUACCUAUACAUUACCGCUAAAGUAAUGGGUUGAAAUUCAAUUUAUUUGGAUUUGUAACCUUUAAACCUUUAGUGAGUAGGAGGGUACAAUGUGAGCGUAGAAGUGUUUGGCGUAAGCCUGCAUGGAGCCGCCAUUGGUACAGAUCUUGGUGGUAGUAGCAAAUAAUCGAAUGAGACCUUGGAGGACUGAAGUGGAGAAGGGUUUCGUGUGAACAGUGGUUGAUCACGAGUUAGUCGGUCCUAAGUUCAAGGCGAAAGCUGAAAAUUUUCAAGUUAUAUAUUAAAUAAAAAAUGUAUAAAACACUUGAAAAUAAUUGAACGAAAGGGAAUACGGUUCCAAUUCCGUAACCUGUUGAGUAUCCGUUUGUUUAUUAAAUGUGGGCCUUGUGCUCAUCCUGGCAACAGGAACGACCAUAAAGAAGCCGUCGAGAGAUAUCGGAAGAGUUUUCUUUUCUGUUUUAUAGUCGUACUACCAUGGAAGUCUUUCGAAGAGAGAUAUGGUAGAUGGGCUAGAAGAGCAUGACAUUUACUGUUGUGUCGAUAUUUUCUCCUCGGACCUUGAAAAUUUAUGGUGGGGUCACGCAAACUUCUCAACAGGCCGUACCAAUAUCCGCAGCUGGUCUCCAAGGUGAAGAGUCUCUAGUC
rnacentral:rRNA from 1 species